ACGAACAGGACAUAUAUCGCAAGCAUGGUUCGUAUUUCAAUAUUCUUUUACGUUUAAACUAUAUACAUAUAUAUCUACCGUAUAAUUUAGUAAUUUUAUUUACAAAUGUAACGAAUGACAAUGAAUGUUUCUCAUAGAUUUAUAAUCACAUUGAUGUGUUAUGUUUUUUAAUACUAAACUUUUCUAAACUUUUAAAAGAUAUAAUUUUUUAAAUCGUUUUGGAUUGAAUAUCUUUCCGUUCAUAUGAUAUACUAUUUAUAUUAUGUAUGCAAUAGAGAAAUACACGAGACAAUGAGGUUUUCGAAUCUCUAUGGUUACCGAAUAAGCACAACAUAUGUUACGUAUUACGAAGUGGUUCUUUUAUGAACUUGAAAUACCAACAGAAGGAUGAGCGUAAGUUCACACGCAACAUCGACACUUAAGAAUAACGAACUUUGCUAAUAAUGCUUUUUCUUAUUAUUAUGCAUAUAGUUGUGCUUUUUUCUAAUAAUUAGAAGUUUUUUAUUUUUUAUUUUUUAAUGUAGAAUAUCUACUAUUUUUAUAUUAUAUAUUUUCCAUAUAAAAAUAAUUAUAAAAUAGAAAAUUUAUAAAAUGUUAGACUAAUAAUAAAAGAUGUAUUUUUUUCGGAUUA